rnacentral:rRNA from 1 species
AGAGUUUGAUCCUGGCUCAGAGCGAACGCUGGCGGUAUGCUUAACACAUGCAAGUCGAGCGAGAAAAUGACUUCGGUCAUGAGUACAGCGGCGGACGGGUGAGUAAUACAUGGAUAAUCUGCCUUUAGGACUGGGACAACUCAGGGAAACUUGAGCUAAUACCAGAUAAGACUACAGAAUCUACGGAUUCAGCUGUAAAAGGUGGCUUCGGCUAUCACCUAGAGAUGAGUCCAUGUCCCAUCAGGUAGUUGGUGAGGUAACGGCUCACAAAGCCUAAGACGGGUAGCCGACCUUAGCGGGUGAUCGGCCACACGGGGACUGAGACACGGCCCCGACUCCUACGGGAGGCAGCAGUGGGGAAUAUUGGACAAUGGGCGCAAGCCUGAUCCAGCAAUACCGCGUGAGGGAUGAAGGCUUUCGAGUCGUAAACCUCUGUCAGUUGGAACGAUGGGUCUAAAGGUUAAUACCCUUUAGACUUGACGGUACCUUCAAAGGAAGCCCCGGCUAACUCCGUGCCAGCAGCCGCGGUAAUAAGGGCGA